AAAGCCCAGUUAGUGCUGUGUAACAGCUGUAUUUUUCUUGUCUACAAACUCCGGUUGUAUGGAAGUGGAACACAACAAGGAAACACCGUGUCUGCCAAUAAUGGAAAUUGCUUGAGACUUCCGAAGAAUCGCUUCAGCCUGCACCAGCUCUAACAGUCUCAGCAUUUUGCUCCGUCUCUGGGCUUCACUGUCAUGUUUGCUAGAGGACUGUCCAUGAAGCCGGGUCAUGUUUGCCGGGAGCUGGGCCAGACAGCAGGUCAUUAGCCAAUAACUGCUCCAUUGAGAUGUUGGACCAGAUGGGGAGAGGCGAAGUUCGAGCCAGGGAAAUGGAGCCAAAGGUGCAUCAGGUGCAGGAUCUGGAGAGAAGUGGCACCAGAACCCGUGCAAAGGAAGAAGAAAGGCAAGGAGACAGAAAGAAAGGAGAAAGAGAUUCUGUGUUUUCUGAUGGGAAUCUGGGAUUUCUCCCAUGUCUGGAAGAGUUCUAUACACCCACUACCUUUUCAACCUUUGGAAAAAUAGCUUGGGGGGUCAUUAUAAAAAGGAGAAAAACAAAAA